rnacentral:lncRNA from 1 species
UUUGGGCGUGUAUUGUUGGGGUUCUUUUUCUUGGGUUAUCUGUAACACCCAUAAACCAUAAACACGUCAUUUAUAAAAACAUGCGGAGUAUAUUACUCAAAUAGGAUGCUACAUUUCUCGGCAUAACAUUCUCAAUCAUAAUAGAAGCAAAAAAAUAACUUUCAACACAACUCUAAAUUGUCUCAUAAAUAAAAAUUAACUUCAUUUAAUCAUAAAAUAAUUAAUUCAAAAACUCGUAGAAAAUAAAAUAAAGUCUUCUCAACCCAGUGUUACACUAUCAGAGUGAAAUGCAAUAAUUAUGGUGAUUAUAAGUAUAGAAAGUCGGAAUGAUGAAUACCUGAACUGAAGGAAAAUCUCCAUGAGAAGACCAGACCAAAGGCUCGAAGGGUGCAGUGUGAUCGUAUUGAAAGUGAGACAUUUUGGCUGAACUGAACUUCACCCUAUUUGUGUCUGACUCUUCUUCUUCUUCAUUGUCAUAUUCUUCUUCUUCUAGUUAAACUUGUUGUUAUUGUUGGGUUUUUGAGUGGUUGUGUUAUGAAAAGAAGUUGUAUGGAU